AAAAUGGCAUGAAACUUUUUUGCCUUCUACACAAAGACCUAUAAUCCAAAACCAUAAAGAGCUGCUGCCAUCAAUGAAAAGUCCAACUGAAGAGGCUUAUUAUUAUUAUUGACAAAAGAAAGAAAAAUGUGAAAGAAAUGAAAAAGCACAUUUCCUUUUCUGCCAGAAGAAACGAGUUCUGUCCCCAGGAAAGGUUUUAACAUUGAUUCUUUGAGACCUUAUGGAACUUAACUACAUUUUAUCACGAUAAUACACUUUUUUUUUCAGAUGUAGCUAGGGUUAUUACAGUUGACUAAAAUUAAAAACAUAAAAAACACUUGAAAAUAAAAUGCAUUUUUACUUAAAAUAAAAUAUAUGCAUCUAUAGGGUUUAGAAUCAUGAAAAUUGUAAAUAUAUGCAUCUAUGUGGGGUUUAGAAACAUGAAAAAUGUCUUCAUCUGUUCAAUUAUUUCAAAAAUUAAAAUAAAUGUAUAAUAUUGUUGCUGUCGAGCUAAGCUUGUAUCUCCAUAUUUCAUCAUUUUUAUCUCGGUUUGUCAUAAAUAAUUACUAUUGGUCAAUAUUUAUGUCUGUCUGUGGGUUUUGCAAAUAUUUAACCAAUGAAAAGUAUUGAAAAAAGCUUGUGACUAAACCUUGUAACUCUAUUGGGUCCUCAAACUGUCGAUCAAACCUCAUAACUCCACCCACCUCGAUCGUGAAUGAAGUGCCGCACGCAGUUUGGACCGUCUCUGCUUGUUUGCAAAGUGGUCUGAUGCUUCUCCAGGGAUCUCACUGCCCCACAGCCUCUGUCCCACCAGGCUGUACGUCACCAACAUCACCAGCAGAGGGAGCAAGUAGAUCAGGAUAAUCACAGCAAUCUGAUACCUAAGCUGAUGUUUCCCUCCAUAAUCAUCAGGCCAUUCCACCAUACAAACAGUCCGAGGGAAGUAGAACUUGGUGCUGGCGUAAUAACACUGAGGGAAGGCCAGUGAAAAAGCCACAGUCCAGAUGACCCCGAUC